CCUACGGGCGGCAGCAGUGAGGAAUAUUGGGCAAUGGGCGCGAGUCUGAACCAGCCAAGCAGCGUGAAGGAUGAAUGCCCUAGGGUUUGUAAACUCUUUUUAUAAAGAAAUAAAGUGAGGCACGUGUGCCUUUUUGUAUGUACUUUAUGAAUAAGGAUCGGCUAACUCCGGGCCAGCAGCCGCGGUAAUACGGAGGAUUCGAGCGUUAUCCGGAUUUAUUGGGUUUAAAGGGAGCGUAGGUGGGUUGUUAAGUCAGUUGUGAAAGUUUGGGGCUCAACCGUAAAAUUGCAAUGGAUACUGGCAGUCUUGAGUGCAGUAGAGGAAGGCGGAAUUCGUGGUGUAGCGGUGAAAUGCGUAGAUAUCACGAGGAACUCCGGUGGCGAAGGCAGCUUACUAGACUGCCACUGACAUUGAUGCUCGAAAGUGUGGGGAUCAAACAGGAUUAGAUACCCCUGUAGUC
rnacentral:rRNA from 1 species